rnacentral:ncRNA from 1 species
ACUGUGCCGUGAUAGUAAUUUAACCUAGUACGAGAGAAAUCGUUGAUUCACACAAUUGGUCAUUGCGCUUGGUUGAAAAGCAAGUGGCGUGAAGCUACCGUGUGUCAGAUUAUGACCGAACGCAUCUAAGUUAGAAUCCAAGCUAGCAACCGGUGUCUGUGCCCACCGCUCACCCUGACCCCACAUCAGGGCGUUCGCGCCCCAAGGGCCUAUGCCAUUGGCUCAGCCUGCCCGACCGAUGAGCCAUGGAAGGCCGCCUCAAAACUCCCUUCCUCACGGGCGGCAAGCUAAAUCCUUUGCAGAUGACUUAAAUACGUGAUGGGGCAUUGUAAGUGGCAGAGUGGCCUUGCUACCACGAUCCACUAAGAUCCAGCCCCGCAUCACCGGGAUUC